rnacentral:pre_miRNA from 1 species
UAAUUUUGUCCUCAGUCAAAAUAUCUCAAGUUUGACCAAGUUUAUAAAGGGUAUCAACUUUUAUGACACAAAAUAGAUAUGUUAUGAAAAUAUAUUUCAUAGCAAAUGUAGUGAUACUUAUUUGGUAUCAUAAGUCCUUGUGCAUUUUUAUAUAAAUUUGGUCAAACUUAGGACAGUUUGACUUAGGAUAAAACUAG